rnacentral:rRNA from 1 species
AGGAUCCUUCGAUAGAAGGUUAGUGGCGAACGGGUGAGUAAUACGUGGGUGACCUGCCCUGAAGAGGGGGAUAACCACUGGAAACGGUGGCUAAUACCCCAUGUGAUCGCGAGGGUUAGAGGCCUGGCGAUUAAAGCUCCGGCGCUUCGGGAGGGGCUCAUGGCCUAUCAGCUAGUUGGUGGGGUAAUGGCCUACCAAGGCUAUGACGGGUAGCUGGUCUGAGAGGACGAUCAGCCACACUGGCACUGAGACACGGGCCAGACUCCUACGGGAGGCAGCAGUGAGGAAUAUUGGACAAUCAACGAAAGUUGGAUCCAGCAACGCCGCGUGAGCGAUGAAGGCCCUCGGGUUGUAAAGCUCUUUUCUGGGGGAAGAGGAAGGACGGUACCCCAGGAAUAAGCCUCGGCUAACUACGUGCCAGCAGCCGCGGUAAAACGUAGGAGGCAAGCGUUAUCCGGAUUUACUGGGCGUAAAGCGCGUGCAGGCGGUCUGGUAAGUUGGGUGUGAAAUCUCCUGGCUCAACUGGGAGGGGUCAUUCAAUACUGCCAGACUUGAGGGUGGAAGAGGGGAGUGGAAUUUCCGGUGUAGUGGUGAAAUGCGUAGAUAUCGGAAGGAAUACCAGUGGCGAAGGCGGCUCCCUGGUCCACAUCUGACGCUAAGACGCGAAAGCUAGGGUAGCGAAUGGGAUUAGAGACCCCAGUAGUCCUAGCUGUAAACGGUGGAUACUAGGUGUAGGGAGUAUUGACCCUCUCUGUGCCGAAGCUAACGCGUUAAGUAUCCCGCCUGAGGACUACGACCGCAAGGUUAAAACUCAAAGGAAUUGACGGGUUCCCGCACAAGCAGCGGAGCGUGUGGUUUAAUUCGAUGCUACACGAAGAACCUUACCAGGGCUUGACAUGCAAGUAGUAGUGAAGCGAAAGCGGAACGAUCCUUCGGGAAGCUUGCACAGGUGCUGCAUGGCUGUCGUCAGCUCGUGCCGUGAGGUGUUAGGUUAAGUCCUGUAACGAGCGCAACCCUUGCCGUUAGUUACAUGUGUCUAACGGGACUGCCGGUGCAAACCGGAGGAAGGUGGGGAUGACGUCAAGUCAGCAUGGCCUUUAUGUCCUGGGCUACACACACGCUACAAUGGCCGGUACAAUGGGUUGCCAAGUCGCGAGGCGGAGCUAAUCCUCCAAAGCCGGUCUCAGUUCGGAUUGUAGGCUGCAACUCGCCUGCAUGAAGCUGGAGUUGCUAGUAAACGCGCGUCAGCUAUAGUGCGUUGAAUACGUUCCCGGGAAUUGUACACACCGCCCGUCACGUCAUGAAAGCUGGUAACACCUGAAGUCGGUGGGCUAACCGAAAGGAGGCAGCUGUCGAAGGUGGGACUGGUGACUGGGACGAAGUCGUAACAACGUAACC